rnacentral:rRNA from 1 species
AUUGAACGCUGGCGGCAGGCCUAACACAUGCAAGUCGAACGGUAACAGGAAGAAGCUUGCUUCUUUGCUGACGAGUGGCGGACGGGUGAGUAAUGUCUGGGAAACUGCCUGAUGGAGGGGGAUAACUACUGGAAACGGUAGCUAAUACCGCAUAACGUCGCAAGACCAAAAAGGGGGACCUCCGGGCCUCUUGCCAUCGGAUGUGCCCAGAUGGGAUUAGCUAGUAGGUGGGGUAACGGCUCACCUAGGCGACGAUCCCUAGCUGGUCUGAGAGGAUGACCAGCCACACUGGAACUGAGACACGGUCCAGACUCCUACGGGAGGCAGCAGUGGGGAAUAUUGCACAAUGGGCGCAAGCCUGAUGCAGCCAUGCCGCGUGUAUGAAGAAGGCCUUCGGGUUGUAAAGUACUUUCAGCGGGGAGGAAGGGAGUAAAGUUAAUACCUUUGCUCAUUGACGUUACCCGCAGAAGAAGCACCGGCUAACUCCGUG